CCCCUCUCAGGGUAGCAACUGGAGAGUUUCCAGUACUCCACUAGUCUCGACUACGGGAGGGAGAGUCAAGCAGAGGCCUACACAUUCCAUUCCUAGCUUGAACAGUGGCUAGCGAGUGGAAGGCCAUCUGCUACCAGU
rnacentral:snoRNA from 1 species